UGACGAGUGGCGGACGGGUGAGUAAUGUCUGGGAAACUGCCUGAUGGAGGGGGAUAACUACUGGAAACGGUGGCUAAUACCGCAUAACGUCGCAAGACCAAAGAGGGGGACCUUCGGGCCUCUUGCCAUCAUAUGUGCCCAGAUGGGAUUAGCUAGUUGGUGAGGUAACGGCUCACCAAGGCGACUAUCCCUAGCUGGUCUGAGAGGAUGACCAGCCACACUGGAACUGAGACACGGUCCAGACUCCUACGGGAGGCAGCAGUGGGGAAUAUUGCACAAUGGGCGCAAGCCUGAUGCAGCCAUGCCGCGUGUAUAAAGAAGGCCUUCGGGUUGUAAAGUACUUUCAGCGGGGAGGAAGGUGUUGUGGUUAAUAACCGCAGCAAUUGACGUUACCCGCAAAAAAAGCACCGGCUAACUCCGUGCCAGCAGCCGCGGUAAUACGGAGGGUGCAAGCGUUAAUCGGAAUUACUGGGCGUAAAGCGCACGCAGGCGGUCUGUCAAGUCGGAUGUGAAAUCCCCGGGCUCAACCUGGGAACUGCAUUCGAUGGCAGGCUUGAGUCUUGUAGA
rnacentral:rRNA from 1 species